AGGGGCGUAGCUCAGCUCGGCCAGAGCAGCGGAUUCCAAACCCGUGCGCCGCAGGUUCGAAUCCUGCCGCCCCUG
rnacentral:tRNA from 2 species